rnacentral:lncRNA from 1 species
CAGCGGUGCGUCCUCUUCAGUCAACAGGUGGCUCUAACCGGAACUUUGCUCAACUGCACUCGUCCAAUCACAGGUCGCUACGUCAGUGUGUACAAGGCUGCUAACAAGGUUCUCACCAUCUGCGAGAUGUUUGUCUUCGGGACGAAGCUCGACUUUUCUGGUACGUACCAACUAGUGCAGGACAACUUCCGCCUCAAUUCUUCCGUUGUGACGUCACUAACAACGCCCUCGCCCAUUGGCUGCGCUGUGAAGUGUACCAGUGACGUCACGUGCCUCGCUUUCAACGUCAUGGCGUCAGGAACAAGUUCACGCGGUGUUGCCUGCGAACUUCUGGGACUUGCAGAGUUUAGCCUGACACUUCAAGCCCACACCGGAUGGAGAGCUUACAGGCGCGUGGUGAAGUGAUGAAGGGAAGUAAUGGAGAAACACAAUCGUUAGGAUAUGGACCCUGACACAAACUUCACUUUACGUACUUUCAUCAACUUUCUUUCUGAAAUUUCAUUUUCCUUGAAUGCCAUAUUUCAGGUAUUUUUUACAUGUUUGACGGAUUAAUUAAUGUUAGUAGAUGUAUAAGCGAAAGUUAUGAUCUCUAAUUCGCUCUUAUUCAUGUCUUCUUUUACCGGUAUUUUUUAAUUAGUUCAUUUACCUAGGUGUAUGCAUUCACUGAAUGUGUUUACUGUGGUAAUAUACCAAAAAAAAAUUCCAACAAUAAGCAGGAAGUGCUAAGUGACAGACUUGCUUACACACUGCUAUAUCCAAGUCCGUUGUUGGUGAACAGAGAGCCAGGUAUGCAAAGAUCUUUAAUCCAGCUUCCAGCUUGUAACACCUGGAUCAUAACCUUCGUGCUUGUGAAUCCAAUAGGCGUUUGCUGGCAUGAAUAUUGUCAGUUAAUUCAAUGGUAAAUAGUCCUAGCAUGGGUAGCGAACCAGCGAGUAAAAUCAACACAGGACAUGUCUCCUUGUCAGACGAUGAUCACCCUUUCUCCUCUUUGCCAGAGCUACUUUCUUGACGGAAAAUAAAUUCAACCUGACCCUCACUUUUGAAUUUUGAUUGGCAUUUAACUGACUUUCCACAGUUUCAUCCUUUUUUAUCCAACUGUCUUGCACUAAGCUCACCUUAUGUCCAACGAUAAGAGUCUUGUUGUCAAUCUACGCUUUUGCACACGAAAUUCGUGUCCUGAUUAAUGAAUGUGUGUAAGUUUUAAUCUUUUGAAUAUUGACACAAAAUUGCUUGCAUAUUUUGAUAGUUGUAUUCAUUCUUUAUGUAACUCAUUCUAUUGACCGACAUUGGCUGACCUAUGUUGGUAAUAACAGUUAGUCGUCAAUCAUGUUAUAGCUGACAAGCCGCAAACCACAUUUAACUCUUAAAUGAAGGUAACUUGUUAGUUUGUAGCUUAAUUAUGGAAAUACAUCUCCUUUGGUUCUUAUCUCGAUUUCUUCUUCCUUUUGAUCAAAACGCUAAAAAAUAAAUUAAACUAGAAACUGUUAUUGAAAUUUGUUUUACUGUUUUUGUAACGGAGGAAAUCGAUAAAUAUAAGUUAUGAAUGCAGUCACUUAAAAAAUUAGAAAGGGGAAAAAAAAACCUUCUUAUUAACAAUGUUUGCUUACAAAAUUAAAGAAAGAUAGCUUCCUGCAAGACAAGAGUCAAAGCAGUCUCCUUCGCUUACCUCCCUUUACAGAUCCCCCCCCACACACACACACACGUCACUCCCAACGUCACAUCUGACUUGCUGCGCAUGUCACAAACCUGACAGUUGUUUUUCAGAACAGAGAUAACGAGGAGAAAAUAAAAUAAUCAGGAUGGCACUGUAAGGAUGUCCCCCAUGUCGCGCUUGCUAAAUGCAAAGUAACAGCGAAGACUCAAUGAGUUUGUCUAAACACAUUUCUCAUCCUACAGUUUUUUCUACCGUGGUAGGAUAGAACAAUGAUGAUGUUAGCGUGUGCUGGUCUUUGUGGAAGAUUUACUUUGCCUUAAUUGACUAGUUCAUGGCCUGCCUUGUCUUAUUUUUGAUGAGAUGGUGGCCACACCAGCGGCGAUGUUAAAAGUGAGGAUACUGUGAACACGGUUUUAUCUUGUAUUCCAUCUCUACCACUCAAGAGAUGAUGAACCUGAGGCAAAUCAUGUUUGUGUGAUCACAGAAUGAGACCAUUUCAUCCAUGGCUGAGUCAAUCUUCUGAGAAUGUGGCGCUGAGAAAGCCGGCUCGUCACAUUUCUACUGCAGUCCUACACCCAUACGCAACAGCUGACAAGGCCGUGGAUGGCAACACCGAUGGUGACUUUUUUCAGCACUCCUGUAGCCACACUAAUGACACCUACAACAACUGGUGGAAGGUGGACCUGGUGGGCUUCUACAACAUCACAGCGUGCAGCUCUUCACUAGGACUGAUUGUGCCUCAUCAAGAUUACAAAACUUCGAAGUGCGUGUAUCUUGACCUUGACCUACGACCUUUCCGUCCGUUGAAGGACAGCGGUGCAUCUUCUUCAGUCAACAAGUGGCUUUAACCGGAAGUUUGCUCAACUGCACUCGUCCAAUCACAGGUCGCUUCGUCAGUCUGUACAAGGCUGCCGACGAUAUUCUCACCAUCUGCGAGAUUUUUGUCUUCGGGACGAAGCUCGACUUUUCUGGUACGUACCAACUAGUGCAGGACAACUCCCGCCUCAAGUCUUCCGCUGUGACGUCACUAACUACGCCCUCGCCCAUUGGCUGCGCUGUGAAGUGUACCAGUGACGUCACGUGCCUCGCUUUCAACGUCAUGGCGUCAGGAAUAAGUUCACGCGGGUUUGCCUGCGAACUUCUGGGACUUGCAGAGUUUAGCCUGACACUUCAAGCCCACACCGGAUGGAGAGCUUACAGGCGCGUGGUGAAGUGAUGAAGGGAAGUAAUGGACAAACACAAUCGUUAGGAUAUGGACCCUGACACAAACUUCAGUAGUGUAGUGCACUGUAAUGAACUUUCUUCCUCAGAUUUAAUUUUCCCUGAAUGCCAUAUUGUGUCUGUCUUUUACAUGUUUGACCUACUAAUUAAUGUCAGUAGAUAGAUAAGCACUGGUGAUGAUCUCUAAUUCGCUCUCAGUCAUGUCUUCUCUAUAGGUCUUUUUUUACUUAGUCCUUUAACAUAGGUGUAUGCAUUCACUGAAUGUUUUUGCUGUGGUAAAGCACUGAAGGAAGAUCCAAGAAUAAGCAGAAAGCUGAAAGUAGACAGACUUUCCACAGUUUCAUCCUUUCCUAUCCAACUGUCUGGCACUACAAUCACCUUAUGUCCAAAGUUGAGGGUCUUGCUGUCAAUCUACACUUUUGCACACGAAAUUCAUGUCACGAUUAAGGAAUAUAUAUAUAUAUAUGUGUGCGUUUUAAUCUUUUGAAUACUAGCACAAAAUUGCUUGCAUAUUUUUAUAUUUGUUUCAUUCUUUAUGUAACUCAUUCUUUUGACCGAUAUUGGCUGACUUAUGUUGGUAAUACCAGUUAGUCGUCAAUCAUGUUAUAGCUGACAAGCCACAAACCACAUUUAACUCUUAAAUGAAGGUAACUUGUUUUUUUGUAGCUCAACUAUGGAGAUAUAUCUGCUUUGUUUUUUGUCUCGAUUUUUCUUCAUUUAUAUCAAAACACUACAAAAGUAAA